rnacentral:rRNA from 1 species
UGAAGAAUUUGUCCAACGGCGGGGGAUAGCCGGCCCAACGGCCGGGUAAUACCGCGUACGACCUUCGGGGGGCGAUCCCCUGAUGGUGAAAGCCGCAAGGCGCCGAUGGAGAACUUCGCGGCCUAUCAGCUAGUUGGUGAGGUCAUGGCUCACCAAGGCGACGACGGGUAGCUGGUCCGAGAGGAUGACCAGCCACAUUGGGACUGAGACACGGCCCAGACUCCUACGGGAGCAG